rnacentral:lncRNA from 1 species
ACCGCCCAGGUCUGAGAGCAGGUGUGAUUGCACGGUGGCGGCCUCAGGCGGCCUCAGCGGUGCGGCAGAGGCCUGGAUGGAUGGCAUCGUCAUCACAAGUCUUGGCUGAGGGACCGCCUGUGAGCUGCCUUGCUGCGCUGGUCCAUUGAGUAUGUGGGGCUGGGUCAUCGAAUCUGGCCCGGGCGCUUGUGCACUGCCGCUGCUGGAGGAUGCAAGCGUGCCCUGCGGCGCCGAUCAGAAAGGAAUGAUAAAAGAGCGAUUUGAAACAAAACAUGUAUUUCACUGACUUCAGCGCAAGCUACGUGUUGAUCCAGAUCUCAGGCGCAGGUGCAGUCUGCCAUCCCACUGCAGCACAGUCGCAAGGACUACUCUGUUGUAUAGUGUAAAUGCUCAAUGAGUUCAUCACAGCCCCUUUAUAUAAAUGCAAAUGCAAACGCAAAUAGAGGGCGGACAUGCAAGCAGGGAGUGUGCAUAGCAGCGGACCUUCCUCAGGCGGUCGACAAGUUCUGCAGCUGGCCUGCUCAGCUCUCGCCCGUUGGUGUGAGUGGGAAGAGCAGAGGUUGACGUGGUAGCCUGACUUCCACUGAUAUUCUGCCGCCAAUUUCUGAACUCUCCUGCCUUUGGUCGCCACGUCCUCCCAU